GCUGGGAUAGCUCAGUUGGUAGAGCAAUGGUAUCGUAAACCAUAGGUCGUGAGUUCGAUUCUCGCUCCCAGCUCUA
rnacentral:tRNA from 2 species